UUAGUUGGUGGAGCGAUUUGUCUGGUUAAUUCCGAUAACGAACGAUUCAUGUGGCAUGCUAACUAGUUACGCGACCCCCGAGCGGUUUUACCUGCCCCCAACUUCUUAGAGGGACAAGUGGCGUUCAGCCACCCGAGAUUGNNN
rnacentral:ncRNA from 1 species